UAUCUUAGCGGCGGACGGGUGAGUAAUGCUUAGGAAUCUGCCUAUUAGUGGGGGACAACAUUCCGAAAGGAAUGCUAAUACCGCAUACGUCCUACGGGAGAAAGCAGGGGAUCUUCGGACCUUGCGCUAAUAGAUGAGCCUAAGUCGGAUUAGCUAGUUGGUGGGGUAAAGGCCUACCAAGGCGACGAUCUGUAGCGGGUCUGAGAGGAUGAUCCGCCACACUGGGACUGAGACACGGCCCAGACUCCUACGGGAGGCAGCAGUGGGGAAUAUUGGACAAUGGGGGGAACCCUGAUCCAGCCAUGCCGCGUGUGUGAAGAAGGCCUUAUGGUUGUAAAGCACUUUAAGCGAGGAGGAGGCUACUGAGACUAAUACUCUUGGAUAGUGGACGUUACUCGCAGAAUAAGCACCGGCUAACUCUGUGCCAGCAGCCGCGGUAAUACAGAGGGUGCGAGCGUUAAUCGGAUUUACUGGGCGUAAAGCGUGCGUAGGCGGCUUUUUAAGUCGGAUGUGAAAUCCCCGAGCUUAACUUGGGAAUUGCAUUCGAUACUGGGAAGCUAGAGUAUGGGAGAGGAUGGUAGAAUUCCAGGUGUAGCGGUGAAAUGCGUAGAGAUCUGGAGGAAUACCGAUGGCGAAGGCAGCCAUCUGGCCUAAUACUGACGCUGAGGUACGAAAGCAUGGGGAGCAAACAGGAUUAGAUACCCUGGUAGUCCAUGCCGUAAACGAUGUCUACUAGCCGUUGGGGCCUUUGAGGCUUUAGUGGCGCAGCUAACGCGAUAAGUAGACCGCCU
rnacentral:rRNA from 1 species